rnacentral:rRNA from 1 species
AGUGAACGCUGGCGGUAGGCCUAACACAUGCAAGUCGAACGGCAGCACAGUAAGAGCUUGCUCUUACGGGUGGCGAGUGGCGGACGGGUGAGGUAUACAUCGGAAUCUACUUUUUCGUGGGGGAUAACGUAGGGAAACUUACGCUAAUACCGCAUACGACCUACGGGUGAAAGCAGGGGAUCUUCGGACCUUGCGCGAUUGAAUGAGCCGAUGUCGGAUUAGCUAGUUGGCGGGGUAAAGGCCCACCAAGGCGACGAUCCGUAGCUGGUCUGAGAGGAUGAUCAGCCACACUGGAACUGAGACACGGUCCAGACUCCUACGGGAGGCAGCAGUGGGGAAUAUUGGACAAUGGGCGAAAGCCUGAUCCAGCCAUACCGCGUGGGUGAAGAAGGCCUUCGGGUUGUAAAGCCCUUUUGUUGGGAAAGAAAAGCAGCAGGUUAAUACCCCGCUGUUCUGACGGUACCGAAAGAAUAAGCACCGGCUAACUUCGUG